CCUACGGGUGGCAGCAGUGGGGAAUAUUGCACAAUGGGGGAAACCCUGAUGCAGCGACGCCGCGUGAGUGAAGCAGUAUUUCGGUAUGUAAAGCUCUAUCAGCAGGGAAGAAAUAGCGACCUUUGGGUCGCCAGACGGUACCUGACUAAGAAGCCCGGGCUAACUACGUGCCAGCAGCCGCGGUAAUACGUAGGGGGCAAGCGUUAUCCGGAUUUACUGGGUGUAAAGGCAGCGUAGACGGCAGCACAAGUCUGAAGUGAAAUGCAGGGGCUUAACCCCGGAACUGCUUUGGAAACUGUGCAGCUAGAGUGCAGGAGAGGUAAGUGGAAUUCCUAGUGUAGCGGUGAAAUGCGUAGAUAGUAGGAGGAACACCAGUGGCGAAGGCGGCUUACUGGACUGUAACUGACGUUGAGGCUCGAAAGCGUGGGGAGCAAACAGGAUUAGAUACCCUUGUAGUC
rnacentral:rRNA from 1 species